rnacentral:rRNA from 1 species
UACGUAGGGACCGAGCGUUGUCCGGAUUCAUUGGGCGUAAAGAGCUCGUAGGCGGCUGUUCAAGUCGAACGUGAAAACUCGGAGCUCAACUCCGAGCCUGCGUUCGAUACUGGACGGCUAGAGUCUGGUAGGGGGAUCUGGAAUUCCUGGUGUAGCGGUGGAAUGCGCAGAUAUCUGGAGGAACACCGGUGGCGAAGGCGGCAUCCUGGACCGAUAUUGACGCUGAUGCGCGAAAGCCAGGGGAGCAAACGGG